UCUUGGAGGUUUUUGGACCUGUUGUCCUUCAGGUUACUGGACAAUAAUGGCUUCUCUGGAGAAGUUCCCGAUGAAAUUGGAAACUUUUCCAAGCUGACCAUCAUGAGACUUGACAAAAAUCGAUUUGCUGGAUCACUGCUGAGCAGUUUGGGGCGGAUAUCAACCCUCUUUGAAAUACACAUCAAUGAUAACGCUUUUACUGGAACGUUACCUGAUCUAAGCGGGUUGAGAGCUCUCCAACUAAUAAGCGUUGGAAACAACUCCUUUUCUCCUCAGCCAGUUCCAUCAUUUGCAG